CGGGGUGUAGCGCAGCCUGGUAGCGUAACUGCUUUGGGAGCAGGAGGUCGGAGGUUCAAAUCCUCUCGCCCCGACCA
rnacentral:tRNA from 1 species